UACGGGGGGGGCAAGCGUUGUCCGGAAUCAUUGGGCGUAAAGAGCGUGUAGGCGGCCAGGUAGGUCUGCUGUGAAAACUCGAGGCUCAACCUCGAGACGUCGGCGGAAACCAUCUGGCUAGAGUCCGGAAGAGGAGAGUGGAAUUCCUGGUGUAGCGGUGAAAUGCGCAGAUAUCAGGAAGAACACCCGUGGCGAAGGCGGCUCUCUGGGACGGUACUGACGCUGAGACGCGAAAGCGUGGGGAGCGAACAGG
rnacentral:rRNA from 1 species